UGGAAUCGCUAGUAAUCGCGGAUCAGCACGCCGCGGUGAAUACGUUCCCGGGCCUUGUACACACCGCCCGUCACACCAUGGAAGUCUGCAAUGCCCGAAGCCGGUGGCCUAACCACUUAUGUGGAAGGAGCCGUCUAAGGCAGGGCAGAUGACUGGGGUGAAGUCGUAACAAGGUAUC
rnacentral:rRNA from 1 species